CUUUCACCAUGCAAAGUCGAACGGUUACGGGCCUUCGGGUGCCGACGAGUGGCGAACGGGUGAUUUUUGCAUCGGAACGUGUCCUCUUGUGGGGGAUAACCAGUCGAAAGACUGGCUAAUACCGCAUGAGCUCGAGAGAGGAAAGCAGGGGACCCGAGGGUAACUUCGGGCCUUGCGCGAGAGGAGCGGCCGAUGCCGGAUUAGCUAGUUGGUGGGGUAACGGCCUACCAAGCCGACGAUCCAUAGCUGGUUUGAGGGGAUGAUCAGCCACACUGGGACUGAGAACGGCCCAGACUCCUACGGGAGGCAGCAGUCGGGAAUUUUGCCCAAUGGACGAAAGUCUGAGUCAACGGCUCCGCGUGAGGGAUGAAGGCUCUCGGGUCGUAAACCUCUUU
rnacentral:rRNA from 1 species